rnacentral:lncRNA from 1 species
AGACGGGGAGUAUUUUGUUACACCGUUCCGUAAUUUAUAUAGUUCGUUUGAUUAUAUUCUUAAUCUAUUUAUGUGUUCCAGUCUAGGAGGAUUAUUCAUCUUUAACGUUAAAACAUCGUACCGUCGCUACCUUUCCCUCUCUCAUACGCAUCCGUUACAGGAAAAUUGCAAGGUCAUUACGAUCACGAGGAACAUUUCGUUGAGACGUCAUCUUGGACACAAUUCGUGGCUAAC